rnacentral:rRNA from 1 species
GACAGAGGAUGCAAGCGUUAUCCGGAAUGAUUGGGCGUAAAGCGUCCGCAGGUGGCAAUGUAAGUCUGCUGUUAAAGCGUCUAGCUCAACUAGAUACAAGCAGUGGAAACUACAUCGCUAGAGUGCGUUCGGGGCAGAGGGAAUUCCUGGUGUAGCGGUGAAAUGCGUAGAGAUCAGGAAGAACACCGGUGGCGAAGGCGCUCUGCUAGGCCGCAACUGACACUGAGGGACGAAAGCUAGGGGAGCGAAUGGG